rnacentral:rRNA from 1 species
CCCUUAGAUGUUCUGGGCUGCACGCGCGCUACACUGACACACGCAACGAGUCUCCUGCCCUGACAGGGUCGGGUAAUCAUUUGAGUGUGUGUCGUGAUGGGGAUAGAAUAUUGCAAUUAUUGCUCUUGAACGAGGAAUUCCUAGUAAGCACAAGUCAGCAGCUUGUGCUGAUUACGUCCCUGCCCUUUGUACACACCGCCCGUCGCUCCUACCGAGGGGGUGAUCCGGUGAAUGAUUCGGACUCUGGUGCUUCUAGCUGCUAGAUGCGCCGGAGGAAGUUUUGUGAACCUUAUCACUUGGAGGAAGGAGAAGUCGUAACA